GGGCGGUUAGCUCAGUUGGUAGAGCACGUGCCUUACAAGCACGGGGUCGCUGGUUCGAGCCCAGCACCGCCCA
rnacentral:tRNA from 1 species